rnacentral:rRNA from 1 species
UACGAAGGGGGCUAGCGUUGUUCGGAAUUACUGGGCGUAAAGGGCGUGUAGGCGGCCCGCUAAGACAGGUGUGAAAUUCCUGGGCUCAACCCAGGACGUGCGCCUGUGACUGGCGGGCUUGAGUCCGGGAGAGGAUGGUGGAACUCCCAGUGUAGAGGUGAAAUUCGUAGAUAUUGGGAAGAACACCCGUGGCGAAGGCGGCCAUCUGGACCGGUACUGACGCUAAGGCGCGACAGCGUGGGGAGCAAACAGG